GGGACACAAAAAAUACCUGUAAAAGGCACAGUCACUCGCUUAAGGAGCUCAUACCCUUGAUGGGGUAUGGAGAACUUGGGACAAACACAUAGACAUAAAACUAUAAGUUGACUAAAAUGGGGCUCAGUGCUCACAGAUGGAGCAGACGUUUUAAGAGCGUGAGAAUGAAGAAACAUGAGAAAGCCAGAAGGAUCUCUGGUCGCCGAAGGCAUCGUGAAGCUGCCAUACCACCCUACUCUACCUACCUCCAGAUUUCUUGCUAUGAGGAAAAAUAAAAGCAAUUUAGUUGAACUAGUAUGGGGGAGAGGAGCCCUCCUGACUUAAGUUUCUGAUUCCACAGCUUGGGGUAGGGCCCUGAAGCCUGCAUCUUUAGGACCGGCUUCAAGUGAUUCUCAUGCUGGUAACCCAAGGAUCAUCCUGAAGGAACUCUUGUUUGGCAUGUGUAUAUAGGAGAUUUCAUGAUAACUGGACUGCAAGGGUAGCAAUUCAAGUAAUAAAUUACUAGGAGUAUGUAGAAGCUUACAAAUGACAGGGCGCCUAGGUGGUUCAGUUGGUUAAGUGCCUGACUCUUGAUUUUGGCUCAGGUCAUGGUCUCAGGGUCAUAGGCUUGAGCCCUGUCUCCAGCUCCAUACUCAGCCUGGAGUCUGGUUGUCCCUCUCCCUCUGCUCCCCAACCUCUCGCUCCGCAAUCCACAUGUUCCCCAGCACUAGGUCAAUGCACCCCCCCAUACGAAGGUACACAAAAUAACAGUUGAGUAAAUGCACAAAUGAAUAAGUGAGCAAUGUUGAAGAUAGUCUUUAUUUCACAGAAGAUUGUAGGUAUUUGUUUCCUAGGACUGUCAGAACAAAUUGUCACAAACUUGGUGACUUAAAACAAUAGAGAUUUAUUUUGUCAUAGUUCUGGAGGCUAGCAGUCUGAAAUCAAGCUGAGCCAAGCUCCGUUUGAAGGCUGUAAGGAAGAAUCCUUCCUCUUCUCCUAGCUUCUGAUGGCUCCAGCAAACCCUGGUGUUCCUUGGGCUAUAGCCCCUUUCCUCCAGUCUUUCACUUCAUCAUCACAUGACCUUCCCCCUCUGUGUGCGUCUUGUGUCCUCUUCUCUUCUUAGAAGGACACCAGUCAUUGGAUUGAGCACCCACCUUGGUCCACUAUAACCUAACCUUAACUAAUUACACCUGCUAAGACUUUAUUCCCAAAUGAGGUUACCUUCAGGUGGAUGUGAAUUUGAGGGAGGACACUAUUCAGACCACUACAUUUUGUUUGCAGGACAUUCUUCAGAAUGCUUCAAGAGUUUUUUUGUUUUUUGUUUUGUUUUGUUUUUUUUUUUUGCCAAUACAUCUUUAACAGUUCAUAGGAUUUGUAACUUAAUUGUAUUUGCUAAAGCAUAACCUGGAGAACUAAAAGAAAUUUGGGUGUGGUCAUAUAACCAAUAUCAAUUAUGGUUGAAGUAUCCUGGAAUACGAAGGGCAGCCAGAAAAACAGGAAUAGGAAAAUGCCCAAAUUUUCAUAAGAAAAAUAAAGACCAAUCCAGGAACUGCUGUUUCCUGCCAACUCUGUGCGUAUGUAAAUGGCUGGGACCUGGUUGGUUAGUUUCCUGUAUAGCCUCCUGUUCCCAAGGAAAGACUCGAUGGUUAGAAUGCCCUUGGGCUCAGCAGUUUGCAUAAGUUGUUUAUUAAGGGUUAGGAACACUAUUACUUUGCUUAUGUUAAGUAGAUAAGGAUCUGAGAGAGGCUUCUUGAGGGUUUUAAUUAAAAUAAACUGCUGACA